ensembl:lncRNA
CCCUGACUGUGUCUUCAUGUUGCUGAUGAACUCAUGGUUCACCCUGACUGUGUCUUCAUGUUGCUGAUGAACUCAUGGUUCACCCUGACUGUGUCUUCAUGUUGCUGAUGAACUCAUAGUUCACCCUGAAACACCCUGACUGUGUCUUCAUGUUGCUGAUUGAACUCAUGGUUCACCCUGACUGUGUCUUCAUGUUGCUGAUGAACUCAUGGUUCACCCUGAAUGAAAGAAGUGACAGGGGUUUCCUGUUUCCCUACAUGAUUGUCUGAGCUGGCAGAAAAAAAGGUAUGUGUUUACGUGUGAGAGGAGAGAAGGAGAGGAGAGAAGGAGCUCAGUGAAGGAAAGGUCAAAGAGAGGAGAGAAGGAAAGGAGAGGAGAGAAGGAGCUCAGUGAAGGAAAGGUCAAAGAGAGGAGAGAAGGAAAGGAGAGGAGAGAAGGAGCUCAGUGAAGGAAAGGUCAAAGAGAGGAGAGAAGGAAAGGAGAGGAGAGAAGGAGCUCAGUGAAGGAAAGGUCAAAGAGAGGAGAGAAGGAAAGGAGAGA